rnacentral:rRNA from 1 species
UGAGGAAUUUUGCGCAAUGGGAGCAAUCCUGACGCAGCAACGCCGCGUGGGUGAUGAAGGCCUUCGGGUCGUAAAGCCCUGUCAGGUGGGAAGAAUGUCCCGGGACUGAACAGGUUUCGGGAGUGACGGUACCACCAGAGGAAGCACCGGCUAACUCCGUGCCAGCAGCCGCGGUAAUACGGAGGGUGCGAGCGUUAUUCGGAAUUACUGGGCGUAAAGCGCGUGUAGGCGGUCCUGCAAGUCUGAUGUGAAAGCCCCGGGCUUAACCCGGGAAGUGCAUUGGAAACUGUGGGACUUGAGUACGGGAGAGGAUGGGGGAAUUCCGGGUGUAGAGGUGAAAUUCGUAGAGAUCGGGAGGAAUAUCAGUGGCGAAGGCGCCCAUCUGGACGGUAACUGAGGCUGAGACGCGAAAGCGUGGGGAGCAAACC